rnacentral:rRNA from 1 species
GUGUCAGCAGCCGCGGUAAUACGGAGGAUGCAAGCGUUAUCCGGAUUCAUUGGGUUUAAAGGGUGCGCAGGCGGAUAGGUAAGUCAGAGGUGAAAGCCCCCGGCUCAACUGGGGAACUGCCUUUGAUACUGCCUGUCUUGAGUACAGUUGAAGUUGGCGGAAUGUGUCAUGUAGCGGUGAAAUGCUUAGAUAUGACACAGAACACCGAUAGCGAAGGCAGCUGACUAAACUGUAACUGACGCUCAUGCACGAAAGCGUGGGGAUCAAACAGGAUUAGAUACCCUGGUAGUCC